rnacentral:rRNA from 1 species
GGGAGCGGCAGACGGGUGAGUAACGCGUGGGGAUGUGCCCAAUGGUGCGGAAUAACCCAGGGAAACUUGGAUUAAUACCGCAUGUGCCCUUCGGGGGAAAGAUUUAUCGCCAUUGGAUCAACCCGCGUCUGAUUAGCUAGUUGGUGAGGUAAAGGCUCACCAAGGCGACGAUCAGUAGCUGGUCUGAGAGGAUGAUCAGCCACACUGGGACUGAGACACGGCCCAGACUCCUACGGGAGGCAGCAGUGGGGAAUAUUGGACAAUGGGCGCAAGCCUGAUCCAGCCAUGCCGCGUGAGUGAUGAAGGCCUUAGGGUUGUAAAGCUCUUUCGCCGGUGAAGAUAAUGACGGUAACCGGAGAAGAAGCCCCGGCUAACUUCGUGCCAGCAGCCGCGGUAAUACGAAGGGGGCAAGCGUUGCUCGGAAUCACUGGGCGUAAAGCGCACGUAGGCGGAUCGUUAAGUCAGGGGUGAAAGCCUGGAGCUCAACUCCAGAACUGCCCUUGAUACUG